GCCGCAGUAGCUUAAUGGUUAUGGCGUCGCUUUCCUACUCGUGAGGAAUGAGGCGAAGGUUGUGGGUUCGAGUCCCAUCUGUGGUA
rfam:Punctularia strigosozonata HHB-11173 SS5 unplaced genomic scaffold PTNSTscaffold_1, whole genome shotgun sequence.